GCCAGAGAAGAAGGAGCUCUUGGUCAUGGAAGAGAGGAGAAGCCUGAGGCAGGAGCAACGUCUGAGACUGCUGCAGGAUGAAGAACCUCUGGGGCAACAGAUGCACAGAAGAUGAAGUGAAGUGACUCCUUCAAGCUCCCUCAGGAAGUCAGCGGCAGUUAAAUAAAGCAGCAAGUUCCCUGCUACUGCUCUGAGACUGGUUUGAACUGAGUGUUCCAUUUUAAAAGAAAUUUAGUGCGAAGGAGGAAAGAGUUUAUGAGCAUCACACCCAGCCCACAUAAAGGAUGAGCAGCCAACACAGGAGAAUAGGACUUAGAGGAAAAGAGGAAAAUCAACUGGAACACGUGCUCUGCAGAGACCUCGCUGCAGAUGGUACAUCUGUCUAUUGUUGUCACAGCAUUAUAUUGAUAAUCCAAGUGCUGGUGUGUAUGCGUAGAGACAUAAAAAUCCUGUAAUAGCUAGGACAGCCCACAUUUCUGUGCCAUUGAAACUCCAAGUGAUAUGACGCAUGGUUCUCACCAGGGGUUGGAAGGAAAGAGCUGUCAAAGGUCAAUGGAACUGUACAGAUAGAUGAGAUGUGUAUAGAAAGAAAGUAUGAUUCAUGUUGGAUCCUCUUGAUUCAUUUAUUCACAUCCUUAAGAACUGAAUCAUUUGUAUUAAAAGCAACAACUUCCAGAGGAGUAUCAUUAGGAAACAAAGACUUAAUGAUAUCUUCUCUAAGACUUUAUCAAAACAGAACUCUACUGUACAGUGAAUCAGCUAACCAGCCAAGAAUAUAUAUCAUGAACAUUAUUCCUAAGCACCUGCUCUGAAGAGGAGCUAUCAUUCUACUUUCAAGGGAAGAUAAACCAAAGACAGCAAUAACUAACAAAAACAGAAAAUCUUUUCCA